rnacentral:rRNA from 1 species
AUGCUCCCCACGAAGCCCCAGCUAUCUUCCUCUCUGCUCGCAUCCACGCCGCUCUUUAACCCCGCAUCCAAUCCCAACCACGCCAAGCCAAUCGCCGCCUCCCCCUCCCCCCGCCGCCGCCUCCGCAUCUCCGCCGCAUCCACGGCGGUUUCGCCGGGGGCGACGGCGCUCAGCCGCGUCGACGUGCUCUCGGAGGCGCUCCCCUUCAUCCAGCGCUUCAAGGGCAAGACGGUGGUGGUCAAGUACGGCGGCGCCGCGAUGAAGUCCCCCGAGCUGCAGUCCUCCGUGAUCCGCGACCUCGUCCUCCUCUCCUGCGUCGGCCUCCGCCCCAUCCUCGUCCACGGCGGCGGGCCAGAGAUCAACUCCUGGCUGCUCCGCGUCGGCGUCGAGCCGCAGUUCCGCAACGGCCUCCGCGUCACCGACGCGCUCACCAUGGAGGUCGUCGAGAUGGUGCUCGUUGGCAAGGUCAACAAGAAUCUCGUCUCCCUCAUCAACCUCGCCGGAGGCACCGCCGUCGGCCUCUGCGGCAAGGACGCGCGCCUCAUCACCGCGCGCCCCUCCCCCAACGCCGCAGCCCUUGGCUUCGUUGGCGAAGUCGCGCGGGUGGACGCCACUGUCCUCCACCCCAUCAUCGCCUCUGGUCACAUCCCGGUCAUUGCCACCGUUGCUGCCGACGAGACAGGGCAGGCCUACAACAUCAACGCGGAUACGGCGGCAGGUGAGAUUGCCGCUGCGGUGGGCGCCGAGAAAUUGCUACUGCUCACAGAUGUGUCUGGGAUACUGGCGGACCGUAAUGACCCUGGCAGCCUGGUGAAGGAGAUUGACAUCGCUGGGGUGCGGCAGAUGGUAUCCGGUGGGCAGGUUGCUGGUGGAAUGAUCCCAAAGGUGGAGUGCUGCGUGAGAGCCCUCGCCCAGGGUGUGCACACUGCAAGCAUCAUCGAUGGGCGUGUCCCGCACUCGCUGUUGCUCGAGAUUCUCACAGAUGAGGGCACUGGCACAAUGAUCACCGGCUAA